GAUGAACGCUGGCGGCGUGCCUAAUACAUGCAAGUCGAGCGAACAGACGAGGAGCUUGCUCCUCUGACGUUAGCGGCGGACGGGUGAGUAACACGUGGAUAACCUACCUAUAAGACUGGGAUAACUUCGGGAAACCGGAGCUAAUACCGGAUAAUAUAUUGAACCGCAUGGUUCAAUAGUGAAAGACGGUUUUGCGGUCACUUAUAGAUGGAUCCGCGCCGCAUUAGCUAGUUGGUAAGGUAACGGCUUACCAAGGCGACGAUGCGUAGCCGACCUGAGAGGGUGAUCGGCCACACUGGAACUGAGACACGGUCCAGACUCCUACGGGAGGCAGCAGUAGGGAAUCUGCCGCAAUGGGCGAAAGCCUGACGGAGCAACGCCGCGUGAGUUAUGAAGGUCUUCGGAUCGUAAAACUCUGUUAUUAGGGAAGAACAAAUGUGUAAGUAACUAUACACGUCUUGACGGUACCUAAUCAGAAAGCCACGGCUAACUACGUG
rnacentral:rRNA from 1 species